UCGAUGAUCUACGGUAUCAAGAUCAAGAGUGCGCAUCUGAAAAUCCGAAUAUGUAUUUUUUUAAUGACAGCCAAAGGUAUUACUUCGAAUAAUUCUCGACAAUAUAUGCUAGUCACGAUUAGUCGCAACGAAUGAAAAUAUGUAACGCAAAAAAAAAAAAAAAAAUUAAUAAAAUGAGAAGAGAACAAGAAGAAAAUAAUAUCAAGUCAAACUCGAAUAAUUCGUGAAACGCGAAACUGACGAAUGAAUCACCGGAUUAUCAUCGAUGAUAAUUUAUUCUCACAUGCAUAUUUUUAUCGACAAUCCCCUGAUAAGGAUUGAGGGAACUCCAUUUUACUGGUAUAUGCAAAUAUUUUGCUGGAAACGAGGCGACGCGUCAUCGAGGCUGCGAACGUGAUGACUUGGAAACUGACAGUAUCGCAUUUGUGAAGAAUUGACAUAUAUAUAUAUAUAUAUUUUUGCAAAGAUGAGCUGGCUGCAAAAUAGCCCACUGCGCACCAGCUUCAGCAAGCAACGGUCCAGAAACUCUCCACCGAAGAAUGCCGAUCCGUCCGCAUGUUACGACAGCUUCUGCAAACAUUGGCAACAGACUUAUGAAAUUAUUGUACACUCCUUACCUCUUAAAGGAGUACCUAGUCAAGAUGAUGUGCUUGGAGUUGUUAAUCACAUUGAUCAAAUGGUGACGUUACUGAUGCUGGAACUGCGGGACUCUAAUUCACAUAAUCACUAUCAACAAGGCAACACAGCAACACAUUCCCCAUGUUUGGAAUAUUUAUUAAGUGAAAAUUUACUUGUUAAACUGUAUGACUGGAGCAUACAUACAGGAAGGUUUAAUAAUGCUGUAAGAUUGGAGCAAAUGAAGCUUUACGAGUUACUCAUUUCAUACAAUAAUGCCCUUCUUGCACAUGAACCAGUCACUAGGCCGCUCUUACGAUUAUUAGAAGAAUGUGCAAACGACAUUAUGCCAUUAGAAGUAGAAAAAAAAUUAGUAGUAUUAUUGAAUCAGUUGUGUGUAGUCUUAAUGCAAAAUAUGGCUUUGCUUGACUUGUUUUUUCAAUCAAAUGCAGUUGGAAAGAAUAAAUUUAUUAUAUUUAAUUUAUUAAUACCUUACAUUCAUCGAGAGGGUGGCGUUGGCCAGCAAGCACGUGAUGCUAUGUUAUUAUGUAUGUCACUCUCGAAGAAGAAUGACGAAGUUGGAUUAUACAUCGCCGACUCCAACAUAUGUCCUGUACUAGCGACAGGAUUGAGUGGGCUUUACUCUUUACUUCCGAGAAAACUUGGAAUUGAGACAGAUGAUUGGUAUCAACUUACACCAGACGACGUAAAUGACUUACCUGCACUUAUGCAGCUCAUGAAUUCUCUAGAGUUCUGCAAUGCGGUUGCACAAGUGGCACAUCCGAUGGUACAGAAACAGUUACUUGAAUUUUUAUACCAAGGUUUUUUAGUUCCUGUCAUGGGUCCAGCAUUGUUACAGGAUUCUCUUGGCUUGACCCUAGAACAGCUAGAUGUACAACAAUAUUGGACUACUGUGGAAGAAUUAGUCGCAGCGACAGCUUAUUUUGAUUUAUUUCUUCGAUCCGUCACCGAUCCUGGCUUGUUACAGUCGCUUAUUAGAUUUCUACUAGAGUAUAAUUACGAUGACUGUAGGAUAUUGGAUAGUUUGAUACAAAGGAUCUCUUCUCGAUCAAGGUUAUGCAUAGUUACCCUGGCGUUGUUCGAAACCCUGGUAAACUUAAACUGCGAGGACAUUAUGCUGGAACUCUGUUUGAGCGCGUUAAAUCCCUGCUCGCACGUAAUGCUUUCCCAACGCAGUCGACUGAGGGACAUAGAUCCGUUUGGGCGCGCCGCGGAGAAGUUCGUGUCGCUGACCCCGGGUUGCUGCUCCGCGUCCACGCUGAACUCGCAGACCAACUCCCUACCCAGCAGCAUGUCGUCCACGUACGACAGAUACGCGUACGACCCGCUAAAAUCCUUGCCGGCGUCCAUGAACUACGGCGCCAGGUUGUCGGACAGCCUGUACGGGAACUAUCACGCCUACCUCUGCGACGCCAGGCAGAAGAUCAAGGCCUGCCGCAUCGCCUGCUCCAACUGGUCCCGCCCCUACGACGGCAACGACUCGCUGCAGAGCAACACCAGCGAGAGUAUCAUGUCCGAUCAGAGGAGGCUAGAGGAGUCCAGGACGUUGUCGCAGUUGAAGUACGCGAGCCUGUGCGAAAACGAGGAGAACGAGCUGAUAGACAACGUGCUGUUCAACUUCCAGUGUCUGUUGGAAGGCAAGGAUUUGAACAGCAAUGAACGCAGCGGCGUGAAGAACGAAUUGACGAUGGACUCCGAUGUGCUGUCCUUGGACGAGCAGGCGCAGUUGGACGCCGAUAUCGCGGAAUUGUUGAACGAGGACAUCGGAGGAACGAACUCUGCGGAGGAGACCUGUCUGGAGAAGAGGGAACCUGAUAGUUGCACGAAUAAUAAUAAUAAUAAUGAUUCCACGACUGUAAACUCGCUCGUGUCCUUGGGAGAGAGCAGCGGCUACGAGAGCUUCGCGUUGAAGGGAGGCUCGAUGGAGUCCACUCCGGAGAACGAGGCGAGUGAAGAGGUGGAGGAAGAUGUGAACGAGGCGACUGCGAUUGAAGAAGAGAUUAUCAACGACGUUGCCGAUCGUCAUCGUGACAAUGUAGCAGAAUUGAAUCCUGGGAAAAUGUCGUCGAGCAUCGACUCGAAUAGGAAUAACAAUACUUCUCUGUAUCGGCAGGAUGUGUUCAACGGACAGCCGAACAUCGGCAUAUUUCUAGACGUAGUUUUGCGAAAGCUCGAGUGUAUGAUUAGCAAUAACUUGUACGUCAAUUUGCAUCUCACAGGUCUCAUCAGCAGACUGGCGAUAUAUCCGCAACCUCUGUUGCAGUCCUUUCUGCUGAAUCAUUCUCUUGUAUUUCAACCUAGCAUCAGAUCCUUGUUUCAGGUGCUGGCAUCGUUAAAGCACAAAAUAGAUAAUUUUCUGUCAAAACACAAUAAUGUAGAUUUAUUGGUUGAACAAGCAAGAUUAUUUCUGAUUAGUCGAGAGGACAAGCUAGUAAAUGCAAGAAAAAAUGUAUUGGAAGCUGCUGCUCAAUCCUCGUCUGUUAAGAAGCAUUCUCUGACUGGUGAACCAUUCUCAAGAGUAUUUAAAAAACGGGAAUCAAAAAGAAGAAGUUUGACAUUAUCAUUUACACAAAUGUUCAGACGCUCAAGUAAUAGCCUAGGUCUAAGCAGCUUAACAAAUUCUAUCAGUCAGCCGUCCAGUAUGUCAGAGGAUCAGUUACAAAUGGUUGGUUCUGGAUAUAGAUAUAUGAAAUCUUCAUGGGAAUCGCCAGAUGAAGUGAGUCCAGUACAAAAUAUUGUUUUAUGUGCUGUUAUAUUGGAUGAAUGGCUUAAAGAGCUCGCGGCAAUAACUCAAGAACAUGCAAUUAUGUCUCUUACAGAUGGUACUGGAUUUAAAGUUUAACAUACAAAGUGGAGCGAUCGUGAUGCAAAAAGUUCUGUUCUCCGAGAGUCCGGAUUCAAAUCCAGUUAGAAACAUCGGAUCUAUUCGAUCACCACCGAGAAUAUCUUGACAGGAAAAUCUCUCUAAUUUGGCCAUUUGGAACCAGUGUUCAAUUAAAUCCUAUAUUUCGAAAAACUAUAAAAAGGAUUAUAUUUUUGAACAAUAGUAAUAUGUACUAAUUGCGACAAAUUUAUAGCAACAGUACAAUUCAAAGAAUGCAAAGCUAUAAAUAGAAAUAUAUUUAAUUAUUAUUGUAACAGAUUUAAGAAAGUAAGAUUCAACAUUGAUUUUUGCUUUUAAAAUUAAAUCAGUAAUUGACAACAUCGAGAAAUUUCAGUGAUAUAUCUAUGAUGAAUAUUUUAACAAAAUUGAAAACUAAAAAAAAUAUUCAGAGCAA